GAGUUUGAUCGUGGCUCAGAUUGAACGCUGGCGGCAUGCCUUACACAUGCAAGUCGAACGGUAACAGGUCUUCGGAUGCUGACGAGUGGCGAACGGGUGAGUAAUACAUCGGAACGUGCCCGAUCGUGGGGGGAUAACGGAGCGAAAGCUUUGCUAAUACCGCAUACGAUCUACGGAUGAAAGCAGGGGACCGCAAGGCCUUGCGCGGACGGAGCGGCCGAUGGCAGAUUAGGUAGUUGGUGGGAUAAAAGCUUACCAAGCCGACGAUCUGUAGCUGGUCUGAGAGGACGACCAGCCACACUGGGACUGAGACACGGCCCAGACUCCUACGGGAGGCAGCAGUGGGGAAUUUUGGACAAUGGGCGAAAGCCUGAUCCAGCCAUGCCGCGUGCAGGAUGAAGGCCUCGGUUGUAAC
rnacentral:rRNA from 1 species